rfam:Cavia porcellus supercont2_16 genomic scaffold, whole genome shotgun sequence.
GGGGAUUUAGCUCAGCGGCAUAAGCACCUGCCUUGCAAGUAGGUGGUCGUGAGUUCAAUCCGCGGUACCCG